CCUAUAUAAAUCAUAUAAGCAAUAUUUAAAUAAAACAAUUAUAUUUAUUAAUUUAACACUUUCUAAGUACUAAAAAGGAAUCAUAAAUAAAUCAAAGUAAUGUUAAAAUCAUAUACCUUUUGCAUUAUGGUUUUACAAGCUAAAAAUUUACAAUUUUCUCCCGAAUUCUAAGAGAGCUGUUUUAUAAUUGCUAAGAGCCCACUACUAAUUGUUGCACCAAUUUUAAAAAAUAAUAAAACAGCGGCUACAUACCACCCGCGCUAGAAAAUUGCUGGUUCCUGACAAACCUUAUAUAUUAAACCAUGAAGUAUAAAUUUCAAUGUAAGAUCACAGAGGAUAAGCCCUGCAAUCACAUGCCAAUAAUUACACUACAUUAAAUUAGGCUUAAAAUCAGCCAUAUAAACUACUUUACCGUAAAUUUAUUUAAUUAAUAUUUAAAUUGCUCCACAAAGUCAAGAAAUUAGAUAAAUUAAAUAUCUUAAAUUAAUAUGUAAAAAUAAGUAUUAAUUAAACUAUCAAUACACUACAAAUAAUAAUUUAUAAAGGAACUCGGCAAACCUAAGUUUCGACUGUUA
rnacentral:rRNA from 1 species